rnacentral:rRNA from 1 species
GAUGAACGCUGGCGGCGUGCCUAAUACAUGCAAGUCGAGCGAACAGACGAGGAGCUUGCUCCUCUGACGUUAGCGGCGGACGGGUGAGUAACACGUGGAUAACCUACCUAUAAGACUGGGAUAACUUCGGGAAACCGGAGCUAAUACCGGAUAAUAUAUUGAACCGCAUGGUUCAAUAGUGAAAGACGGUUUUGCUGUCACUUAUAGAUGGAUCCGCGCCGCAUUAGCUAGUUGGUAAGGUAACGGCUUACCAAGGCAACGAUGCGUAGCCGACCUGAGAGGGUGAUCGGCCACACUGGAAGUGAGACACGGUCCAGACUCCUACGGGAGGCAGCAGUCGGGAAUCUUCCGCAAUGGGCGAAAGCCUGACGGAGCCACGCCGCGUGAGUGAUGAAGGUCUUCGGAUCGUAAAACUCUGUUAUUAGGGAAGAACAAAUGUGUAAGUAACUAUGCACGUCUUGACGGUACCUAAUCAGAAAGCCACGGCUAACUACGUG